CCGUUCCCAUGCCGAACACGGAAGUUAAGCUCUUCAGCGCCGAUGGUAGUUAGGGGCUUCCCCUUGUGAGAGUAGGACGUUGCCAGGU
rnacentral:rRNA from 1 species